CGUCCGUUUUCACGACCAGGAAGGAAAAUAAUGAAAAUACCACGGUGACUGCGAAGUUUUACAGGCAGGAUCUAGAUGAAUAUGUUUGGCACGAUAUUUGCUUUGCAUUCAACGACGCUGGUGAUUGUACGAUUCGCUUCUUAAACCUUCUUGUCAAGUCGUCCAGAUUUUAUGAUACGGAUAAAAAGAAGAAAGAAGCACUAGACCUGGAAGGAUUGCCUUGGCACCUUAUAGUUUCUGAUCUGAAGAACAAUUUUGAUUUGGACUUUUCGAAUGACAAAGUAAAGUUUUCAUGGGAAGGACCUGGUUCAUGUAUAAUUCUUACGGCGUGGUGUCUAAACGUUGAAAGAAAUUAUACAACAUAUUUUUAUAUAUUUCUAAUAAACUGAAUGCAAAUGUACGUAGCAAUAUCGAUACAUGAAUGAGAGAUAUCUUACGCAUUAUAUUCUGACAUUUUUAUUUUCUUUAUCUAACAGAUUUAAAUUAAUCCAAACAUUAUGCUUAAACCCUUUAAUAAAGAAUUGUUUCAAUCACCUUUCUUGUUCUUUUUUCAGAUGGUGGGUUCGACGGAAAGCUUCGACGGAACUAACUUUUGAGUUAUUAUAGUAGUGUGAAUGAGAAUAAAAUGAAUUUUAUUUUGCCUGUUUGUAAUUUUUAUUCUGAUGAAGUUAUGUCCUUUUCGUAACUAUGCCACUUUUCAAUCAGACCCUGUUUGCGAUUGUCAGCCAGUAAUUGUCUAAGUAACUACAGAUCAGCAUAAAAUAAAUCUUCACACUCCUUUCCGCUAUUGAAAUAAACUGAACGUCAUGACGUCUUUGACGCUUUUUUUAACACAACAAUGUUUUCUUAGCAUUUCUGUGGUACUUUAUUCAUUAUUUCGGCAUAAUUUAGCAUAAAGUUUGAGACAGGUGUUUGUAAUUGUCCAAAAAAUGAAUUUACAAACACAUUUAGUUUGACGUGAAUGUUAGCGCAAAUUAUCACAUUCC